GACCUCAAAUCGGGUGGGACUACCCGCUGAACUUAAGCAUAUCAAUAAGCGGAGGAAAAGAAACUAACAAGGAUUCCCCUAGUAACGGCGAGUGAAGAGGGAAAAGCUCAAAUUUUGAAUCUGGUGUCUUUGACUCCCGAGUUGUAAUCUAGAGAAGUGUUUUCCGUGUCGGACCGUGCACAAGUUCCCUGGAACGGGGCGUCAUAGAGGGUGAGAAUCCCGUAUAUGGCACGGACUGCCGAUGCUUUUGUGAUACACUCUCAACGAGUCGAGUUGUUUGGGAAUGCAGCUCAAAAUGGGUGGUAAAUUCCAUCUAAAGCUAAAUAUUGGCGAGAGACCGAUAGCGAACAAGUACCGUGAGGGAAAGAUGAAAAGCACUUUGGAAAGAGAGUGAAACAGUACGUGAAAUUGUUGAAAGGGAAGCGUUUGAAGUCAG
rnacentral:rRNA from 1 species